GCAUAGCUCAGCUGGCUAGAGCGUGGUGCUGAUAACGGCGAGGUUGCAGGUUUGAGACCCAUAUGGGACAGCUGCA